CUUUCUUUUGCUGGCGACCGGCGCACGGGUGAGUAACACGUAUCCAACCUGCCCUUUACUCGGGGAUAGCCUUUCGAAAGAAAGAUUAAUACCCGAUGGCAUAGUUCUUCCGCAUGGUAGAACUAUUAAAGAAUUUCGGUCAUCGAUGGGGAUGCGUUCCAUUAGGUUGUUGGCGGGGUAACGGCCCACCAAGCCUUCGAUGGAUAGGGGUUCUGAGAGGAAGGUCCCCCACAUUGGAACUGAGACACGGUCCAA
rnacentral:rRNA from 1 species